AUGGGCGUAAGAGCUCGUAGGCGGUUUGUCGCGUCUGCCGUGAAAGUCCGAGGCUCAACCUCGGAUCUGCGGUGGGUACGGGCAGACUAGAGUGAUGUAGGGGAGACUGGAAUUCCUGGUGUAGCGGUGAAAUGCGCAGAUAUCAGGAGGAACACCGAUGGCGAAGGCAGGUCUCUGGGCAUUAACUGACGCUGAGGAGCGAAAGCAUGGGGAGCGAACAGGAUUAGAUACCCUGGUAGUCCAUGCCGUAAACGUUGGGCACUAGGUGUGGGGGACAUUCCACGUUUUCCGCGCCGUAGCUAACGCAUUAAGUGCCCCGCCUGGGGAGUACGGCCGCAAGGCUAAAACUCAAAGGAAUUGACGGGGGCCCGCACAAGCGGCGGAGCAUGCGGAUUAAUUCGAUGCAACGCGAAGAACCUUACCAAGGCUUGACAUGUGCCAGACCGCCGUGGAAACACGGUUUCCCCUUUGGGGCUGGUUCACAGGUGGUGCAUGGUUGUCGUCAGCUCGUGUCGUGAGAUGUUGGGUUAAGUCCCGCAACGAGCGCAACCCUCGUUCUAUGUUGCCAGCGGGUCAUGCCGGGGACUCAUAGGAGACUGCCGGGGUCAACUCGGAGGAAGGUGGGGACGACGUCAAAUCAUCAUGCCCCUUAUGUCUUGGGCUUCACGCAUGCUACAAUGGCCGGUACAAUGGGUUGCGAUACUGUGAGGUGGAGCUAAUCCCAAAAAGCCGGUCUCAGUUCGGAUUGGGGUCUGCAACUCGACCCCAUGAAGUCGGAGUCGCUAGUAAUCGCAGAUCAGCAACGCUGCGGUGAAUACGUUCCCGGGCCUUGUACACACCGCCCGUCAAGUCACGAAAGUUGGUAACAUCCGAAGCCGGUGGCCUAACCCCUUGUGGGAGGGAGCCGUCGAAAGUGGGACCGGCGAUUGUAACUAAGUUCGUACCAAGUAGCCAU
rnacentral:rRNA from 1 species